GUGAGGAAUAUUGGUCAAUGGGCGGGAGCCUGAACCAGCCAAGUCGCGUGAAGGAAGAAGGAUCUAUGGUUCGUAAACUUCUUUUGCAGGGGAAUAAAGUGCAGGACGUGUCCUGUUUUGUAUGUACCCUGAGAAUAAGGAUCGGCUAACUCCGUGCCAGCAGCCGCGGUAAUACGGAGGAUCCGAGCGUUAUCCGGAUUUAUUGGGUUUAAAGGGUGCGUAGGUGGUUUGAUUAGUCAGCGGUGAAAGUUUGCAGCUUAACUGUAAAAAUGCCGUUGAAACUGUCGGACUUGAGUGUAAAUGAGGUAGGCGGAAUGCGUGGUGUAGCGGUGAAAUGCAUAGAUAUCACGCAGAACUCCGAUUGCGAAGGCAGCUUACUAAGCUACAACUGACACUGAAGCACGAAAGCGUGGGGAUCAAACAGGAUUAGAAACCCGGGUAGUCC
rnacentral:rRNA from 1 species